rnacentral:rRNA from 1 species
GACGAACGCUGGCGGCGUGCCUAAUACAUGCAAGUAGAACGCUGAAGGAGGAGCUUGCUUCUCUGGAUGAGUUGCGAACGGGUGAGUAACGCGUAGGUAACCUGCCUGGUAGCGGGGGAUAACUAUUGGAAACGAUAGCUAAUACCGCAUAAGAGUAGAUGUUGCAUGAAAUUUACUUAAAAGGUGCAAUUGCCUCACUACCAGAUGGCCCUGCGUUGUAUUAGCUAGUUGGUGGGGUAACGGCUUACCAAGGCGACGAUACAUAGCCGCCCUGAGAGGGUGAUCGGCCACACUGGGACUGAGACACGGCCCAGACUCCUACGGGAGGCAGCAGUAGGGAAUCUUCGGCAAUGGACGGAAGUCUGACCGAGCAACGCCGCGUGAGUGAAGAAGGUUUUCGGAUCGUAAAGCUCUGUUGUAAGAGAAGAACGAGUGUGAGAGUGGAAAGUUCACACUGUGACGGUAUCUUACCAGAAAGGGACGGCUAACUACGUG